AGAGAAACCUGAUGCCAUGAUAAGGGAGAAUUGGAAUUAGCACACAGAAGUGGAACUUGACGGAAAACUAGAAUCCCACAUUGUUGCGAAACGUGGAUAGAGUUCCAAAAAAGAUGAGUGAACAAGAAGGGAGAUUGAGGGGCCGAAUGACCUGACUGUUUGUUUUUCCCUCCUGUUCUGCUUAUUCCCCCUGGGCAGGGACUCGAACCGAGGACCUUCUGAGACUGAGGAAGCUGACCUAGCGACCCUUGCGGAAACACUGAAGGACGUCGCAAAUCUGGUAUUGGUGGGGGGUGGCAGAGCGAGCGGCUUACGGAUUCCCACCACCUUUCAACAUCUGGG